rnacentral:rRNA from 1 species
UACGAAGGGUGCAAACGUUGCUCGGAAUUAUUGGGCGUAAAGCGCACGUAGGCGGUAUUGCAAGUCGGAUGUGAAAUCCCUCGGCUUAACCAAGGAAGUGCAUCCGAAACUGCUGUACUUGAGUACGAAAGAGGAUCGCGGAAUUCCCGGUGUAGAGGUGAAAUUCGUAGAUAUCGGGAGGAACACCAGUGGCGAAGGCGAGUCUCUGGACAUUUCCUGACGCUGAGGCACGAAAGCCAGGGGAGCAAACGGG